GACGAACGCUGGCGGCGUGCUUAACACAUGCAAGUCGAACGGAAAGGCCCUGCUUUCGUGGGGUUCUCGAGUGGCGAACGGGGGAGUAACACGUGAGUAACCUGCCCUUGACUUUGGGAUAACUUCAGGAAACUGGGGCUAAUACCGGAUAGGAGCUCCUGCUGCAUGGUGGGGGUUGGAAAGUUUCGGCGGUUGGGGAUGGACGCGCGGCUUAUCAGCUUGUUGGUGGGGUAGUGGCUUACCAAGGAUUUGACGGGUAGCCGGCCUGAGAGGGUGACCGGCCACAUUGGGACUGAGAUACGGCCCAGACUCCUACGGGAGGCAGCAGUGGGGAAUAUUGCACAAUGGGCGGAAGCCUGAUGCAGAAACGCCGCGUGCGGGAUGACGGCCUUCGGGUUGUAAACCGCUUUCGCCUGUGACGAAGCGUGAGUGACGGUAAUGGGUAAAGAAGCACCGGCUAACUACGUG
rnacentral:rRNA from 1 species